rnacentral:lncRNA from 1 species
CAAAUCAUUUUCCACAAUAAUUAUACCAAUUUACAUCCACAAGGGAAACAAAAGAAAUUCCAUUUAAUAGGCUCCCCUGGUGGCUCAGUGGUGAAGAAUCCGCCCGCCAGUGCAGGAGACAUGGGUUCAAUCCCUGAUCUGGAAAGACCCCACAUGGCGAGGGGCAGCUAAGCCCACGAGCCACAGUUGAGCCUGUCUGUGCUCUAGGGCCUGGGAGCGUCAACUGUUGAAGCUCGUGUGCCCAGAGCCUGUGCUCUGCAACGAGAGAAGCCGCUGCAGCCUUGUUGCCGACAUCUUAGCGAGGCGGCAGUUGUCACAGCUGCCCUCUGGGCUUCGCUCUGCCGCCCAAGGACAACAAGAAGAGGAAAGAUGCCGGAACAGUCGAUCAAGAAAGACAAAGAUCCAGAGAACAAAUCUGGGGCCAAAAAGAAGUGGUCCAAAGGCAAAGUUCGGGACAAGCUCAAUACUAGUCUUGUUUGACAAAGCAACAUAUGACAAACUCUGUAAAGAAGCUCCCAACUCUAGGGAGCUUAUAACUUAGCUAGCUUAUAACUCCAGCUGUUGUCUCUGAGAGUCUGAAGAUCCGUGGUUCCCUGGCCAGGGCAGCCCUUCAGCAACUCCUUAGUAAAGGACUAAUUAAACUGCUUUCAAAGCACAGAGCUCAAGUGAUUUA